AACGCUGGCGGCGUGCUUAACACAUGCAAGUCGAACGAGAACGGUAUUAUAGCUUGCUAUAAUUGUCAGCUAAGUGGCGCACGGGUGAGUAAUAUAUAGGUAAUGUGCCCUAGAGAAGAGGAUAACAGAUGGAAACGUCUGCUAAGACUCUAUAUGCCUUUAUGACAAAAGUCAGCAAGGGAAAUAUUUAUAGCUUUGGGAUCGGCCUGUACAGUAUCAGUUAGUUGGUGAGGUAAUGGCUCACCAAGACAAUGACGCUUAACUGGUUUGAGAGGAUGAUCAGUCACACUGGAACUGAGACACGGUCCAGACUCCUACGGGAGGCAGCAGUGGGGAAUAUUGCACAAUGGACGAAAGUCUGAUGCAGCAACGCCGCGUGGAGGAUGACACAUUUCGGUGCGUAAACUCCUUUUAUAUGGGAAGAUAAUGACGGUACCAUAUGAAUAAGCACCGGCUAACUCCGUG
rnacentral:rRNA from 1 species